UACGUAGGGGGCAAGCGUUGUCCGGAUUCAUUGGGCGUAAAGAGCGUGUAGGCGGCCAGGUAGGUCGGUUGUGAAAACUGGAGGCUCAACCUUCAGAGGUCGACCGAAACCAUCUGGCUAGAGUCCGGGAGAGGAGGGUGGAAUUCCUGGUGUAGCGGUGAAAUGCGCAGAUAUCAGGGAGAACACCCGUGGCGAAAGCGGCUCUCUGGAACGGUACUGACGCUGAGACGCGAAAGCGUGGGGAGCGAACAGG
rnacentral:rRNA from 1 species